CUGUGUGUUGCUCUGGGUAAGACGUUGGCUAAAUGCAUAAUUACAAAUGUAAAUAAAUAACCUGAAUCAUCUGAACGCUCAGCUCCACCUUACCACCUGACAAAUAUGACGAUGCUGCCAUAAUCAAACACAUCAUUUUACGCCUGCCUUUUAAGAAGCCUCACAAGGACUCGUCUGUUCAAAGAGCUUCUAAAGGCUGUAAAAAAAUAAAUAAAAUAAAGCCAUGGAAAGUUGUGCAUUGGUGGGGCCCACUCAGUCUGCACACCCAGCCAGGUCGGGACACAAGGACAUGUGUUUCCUAGUGGAGAUUCCACAGAGAGAGAGAGAGAGCGAGAGAGAGCUGUUUAUGAGCCAGAGUGGUGACUCUGGCUUAUGUGCAGUCCUUAUUAAGAGACUUGAUAUUUUAGACUUCAGCUGAGUUUCUGCAGAGGCACAUGUCUUAUUAAGCCAGGGCAUCAGUCGUCAUGCAUUGUACUUUUUUUUAUAAAGCACUUAGCAGAAACACAAACUACACAGACUUUUUUCCUCUUGAUCCAUCGGGCACGGUUGUUCUUUAUUUUUUUUGUAUAAAACGCUGACUUUUUCAACAGAACAUAUGAACAUGUGGAAGUUUUUACGUGACCGUGUGCAGACACACACGUCUGCACCGUUUGGUCCUCACAAAAAUGCCUGACAUAACCUCCACAAACAUUUGCCACAGUUAGGUAUAGCUUCUGCUGCCAGUAAACCCAACAUGCAGACAAUGUUCUCAGGUUCCAGUGUUUGUGCUGACCUCAUGUUCCCCGGGGUGUCGCUGCGAGGAUAUCGCCGCCUCACAUCGAUACAAGUCCCUCUAUUUUAGGCGAUUCCAGCAGCCAAGUAUGAAUGGCCUUGUGCUUUUGUUUAGCCUCGCCUAAUUUAAACCACAGUCUGUCAGCGGAGCAGUGACAGCUCUCAAUGUGGCAGGGAUUUUGUCCCAUCAACUGGUUUCUCAGCAGAAGAGACGGGACACUGUGGACGGCUGCUGAUCGGAACACCACAUGGUACGCGGUUAAAAUAGCGGAGCGGGCUUUAAACACGAGUGCAUAUCUAACCGAUAAAUGAAAUAGCUACAGCUGGAUGCUAAAUGUAGGACAAAAUUUACGUUAGAUUGUAGAUUGUACAUUGUUGGACAAAGCAUGAACUGAACUGUAAAUAAUAAAUGCUAGGUGUUUCUAAUGCUAUAUGUCAGUGAUUAUCAACUGGCAGCUCACGGUCCAAUCUAAGUUGCAACUGGAUUCCAAAAUUGUAAGGAUCACAAUAUCAGGUGUUCCGUAUACAUAAUAAACAUAUAUAAACAAUAAACAUCAAAUAAUAAUAUUAGAAAAAUGUGACCUUUAUUUCAUUUUAUUUGAGUCCGGAUGCCGGAAAAAUAGUCAGUAAAAUACAACUACGAAGGUUUGUCAGCGUUUAUACUUUUUAAUAAAGGUAUUGAUUUAACUUGACAAAUGUAAGUGGGAGGCAAAUUGAAGCUGAAAGCAAAGGAAACCCGACUGUGCACAACUGCAGCCUAUCACAUACGUAUAUUUAAAAUUCAGCUUGGAAAUGUAGGAAAGUUUCUGUGUGGUUCUGUCUGAGAGAUGAAACCAGGACCUGGGCCUGUGUGUGUGUGUGUCUGUGUCUGUGUGUGUGCACGAGUGCGACAGAUCUGGCUGGAAAUGACAGCUCUUUGCUCCUAUAAAGGCAAAGCUCUGGUUUGGGAGAUGUCUGAUUUUUAUGGACUGGAAAGUGGGACAGUUUAAAACAAAUAUCGUCUCUUUCUCUUGGACAGGAGCGUAGAUGGAAAAUCCAACCGGAGCCAAAUUGUUGUCUGUGUCUCGAUGUAGCAAAGUGCAGCCACUGUGUGUCAACAUCGCAAGCAAGUGUAGGGAUGCAGGUGAAUUAGUCCACUUCCCAGGAGGACUGCUGCGGCCCUUUGAAACGAUCCUUUGUGAAUGUGUGCAGUAGAGUUAGUUGGCUGAGGGGAUUUUGUUUCAGGUGAAACUACAGAAAUACACUUGGCAGACAGGUUGACCACUGGUCACUGGUCAGGUGACUCGCUGUAAGUGUUGAAUAUUCCUGGCAGUUUGGUCAAUGCACAGGUGUGUGUAAUAAUGGUAAUCAAUAGAUCAGCUCAUUUUUAUUCCACCUGUCUGUCUGUCUUGAUGGCGUGAUCAAACUCACAGGAAGAUAUUUGCAACAUCAUGCAUGGGCGAUGAGCAGGAGAUCUGCAGCAAUUGGUUAUUUUUUAAACUUGAAUAAUCUAUUGAUUAUGAUUGUGAAUCUAUUGAGUGAUGUCAUCUAUUGUUUUGUCCUCAGACUGUAAUCCAGAUUAAUUACUUGCCAGAGAAAGGCCAAAAAAUACAGAGAUUGCAGAGAUUUUUCUGAAAGCAGCAGCAUAACACAGAAGACAACCUAUGAUUUCACAGUAACACCAGUGUGUCAGGUGUUUGGUUGGGUGCAUCCAUACAAGCACUGUAGGUAAUGGCAACACAAUAUAAAAAGGAUAUUCAUUCUCCCCUGCUGGUACAGUGUUUGCUGCUGCAGUGUAAUCCUUUUAUCGUCAUUUCUCAGUUGAUAGUUAUCGGGCCCCACAAACUCCAUGAUUCAAAUCUGCUGUGCGAGCCUCAAACUGCACCUGUCGUCCAGCGUCACGCUCCUUUAUUUUUAUAUCCAUAUUAACGCUUCUGUAAACAAUUCAACUUGAUGAUGGAGGUGAGGGUGAAGGGGAGUGCGGAGGAUUUAGAGCUUGUCAACAGUUGUCAGAGGGAGCGCUCUAACUCUCGGGGUCUGUUUUCUUUUGGGCCGUCUGUCUCUUCUCCCGCUGCACUGUUAAUUAAUACCCAGGCAUCUCCGUCUGACAUCCAGUGGCCCGCUUGGGUUUCACUGGCGGUGAACAACAAGUUGUUUGGCUUCACGGUGAAGUGGUUUCUGUCUCCCUGCUGCUGCGCUGUGCCUGUGACCACACUGUGGUAUUUGGAGAGAACUGUAGAUGUGGUCAGAACUCCAACAUUAACAAAACACAGCAUUGCACUGGCUUAACUCAAUUGUACAUUUCAAUCACACCGAGUCCUCUUGCACACUAUUUCGUCAUCCGUUUCUGAGUCGUAGGACGUGACAGCUACUUCUCAAACUUUUGUUUUUCUUUCAGCUUGGAUAGGUAAAUGGCCAUGUUAAUAUGUUGUCAUCAAGGACAAAGAUGAAUUUGAACAGAAAUUCAAACACUUGUUUUUUGUGUACUCCAUUAUACUAGUAUGGACACUUCUUUGUUUCUUUUCUAAUAAUAUGGAAUGAACUGGAAAAGUAAAUCAAAUGAUAAUAAAAAAAAUAGGGAUAAUUAAAUUCAGCCAGCUGAACAGAAAGUGAGCAGAGCUUUAACACCAAUGUUAAAUACUUGUAAUUAAAACUGCAUUUCUGCUUUAUCUUAUUUACGGUACUAAUAUCGACUGGGUCACAGCGCCACCUGCUUAAAGAAGGGAGGGAAUUAAUUUACUAUGAUGCAGUUUCUUUUUUUCCAAAGAAUAAUCCUGUGUACUCAUAAGUGCAGAUGUGAGGGUUCGAUGCUGCCGUCCCUCAGAUUAAUCCCAGUUGAUAUAGUGUUUCGUGUGAUGCGUCAAAUGUCAAAGAUCUUGUUUCAUUCAGUUUUGACACGAGUGAAGACCUCAUGCUUUGCGACUUUGUUAAGCAGCAGUGAUUUUCAGUGACAGCGAUGUGGGGAAUUCAGCGACUAAGUCCCCUGACUAACCAGACCCUAAACAGAGAUCUAUUCUCGGCUCGAGACGAUUUAACACAUCUGGUUGGUUUUAUAGCGAGAAGGUGAUAUCCCGUCUUUUUUAUUGGCGCAGUGCUCUGUCUUGACGUACGGGUUCAGGGGCCAAGCACCAGGACCCCCGGUGGAAGCGGCAAGCUGCUUCUGUCAGCAGGGAGUCACGGUGAGGCGGAUUGUGGUGAUGGUCAGAUGAAUGAACCACAUGUAAUCGAUUUGGCAGUGCCGAGAAGAUUUGGAAAGAAAAAAAAAACAGUUGGAUGAAGCUGCUUGUUAUGUAAGAGGUGAAACAUCUUCGGACAGGCUGUUCCUGUAAUAAGACAAAUUUAGGCGUGCUCCCUGAAGCAGGAUGUCUGUCUGGCUCGUACCUCAUGAUGUGUUGUAGCUAUAAAGUCGUCUGUGUGUUAUGUCUAUUAGAUAAUUCUUCUGUUUUUCUGUUCUUCUUUGGUUUUUUCUUCUGCGGCCUAAUUGUCUGCAGUUACGACCAUAAUCCCACAGAUCUCCGACAAAGUCUCGAGGGGUCAUCAUAGGUCAAAUGCACAGGUCAGAUCUGGUGGAGGUUAUGAAACACAGUGAUCUGUUCAACCUUCAAGGCCGUUUGCCUUUUUUAGUGCUGGGCGAGUUGUAGUCACUGUGAAAUCACGCCCUGGCAGUUUAUGAAAGACAAUCUGAGUCAUUAUUGUCAACACGGCGGUUUAAAGUUAGACAGAGGACAAAUGCUUUCUUAAUGAAGUGGUGUUGGGGUGUUUCUAAAGCUGAUUCACACGGUGUCUUAAAUAAAGACGGUAAACCAUGAAGUCAUGUCUUGACCCAAUGGCCCUCUUUGUGUCUCUGGUGUCGUUUCCAGACCCUCUCACUUUAACCCAAGCUCCAAGACGUGGUUCCAAAGUCGUGGUUCAGCUUUGCUCUCCCGAGACACACCAACAUUGCACAAGUGUGUCUGAGUGAAGUCUUAUUUUAGCUCAAACGUGACCUGGUUAUACUUGAGUUGGCCUUAAAUGGUAACUUAAAUAAACCCCAAGCUGGUCCAACACACAGAGUCCUGUAGUCCAACUCAGCUGAUAAGGCUUUAUUAUAAUAUUCUCACAUCAUUCAUGUUCAUAAUAUCAUCUCAGGUUGUCAAGGCAUUUCCAUUUAUAUGGACUGUUAAUCAGGAGAGGUGUAAACUGUCAGUCAGUCUCCUGAAACCACCGGGCUGAAGAAAAACAGACUUGGAAAAAAUAAUCUUUUUUUGUAAACAAUUAUUUCACGGACAAUCUUUGUUUAGUGGGCGUGUCCUCGUAAACUUUAGAUGACUUGAUAAUCUGAGGGUACAGCCUUACAGGGGGAGUCAGUAUUUAUAAACAUCCAAAAAUAAUCGGGAACAUGUACUGGACCGUUCUAGAACAAUCCUUGGGCCUUAACCCAUACGCUGAGAAAAUAUCAUUGAUUUAUUUUUUGUAGUUCUGCUCACAAACUGACGAGGUUGACUGUGAUUCAUAACAGUGAUGAGAACACCACUUCAAGCCCACAUUAUAAAUCAACAAAUAUGUUCAAUACAAACACACAAGUGUAAAGAAUUCAUGACAUCAUAACAAGACUUACAUCUGUUGAAAAGGACUAAAGGUGGACGUAAUUGCAGAAGUUGUUUUUAUAAUCUUGUCAUGAAAAUCAAGUGUCUGGUUGAGAGGCUUCCCUUUUAUUAAUCACAUGGAGGGACAUUAACCAAUCACAGGAGGGCUUAGGGUUAGUGGACUUUUUUCAGUACAUUCAACGACUUCAGUCACUGGUAAUUUAAUGAGAUGUGCUGUGAAUGGAAGGUCAUUUUGGUUGGUAGAUUUAAAUGUAUCAUUAUAUCUACGACCAACAUUUGUUGUAUAUUUUCCAUUGUCGACCGACUCUGUGAUCUUUCCCUCGGCUCAUAUUGAGCCUGGCGCUGCCUAAUUCCUACCCGUGCUGUUUGUGUACCUUUGAAAACACCAGUGCAACACUCGAGGGGAUUUUCCUCUGCAGAUUAUAGUCAGUCACCUGCACUGUAAACGUCUCUUUCCUGGCAAACCCACCAGAGUUGCACUAAUCACUAGCAGAGAGAAAAGCCGGUGAGGUCCCGGUGUUCUUGCGUGAGAGCAGCAUGUUUGUUACCUCAACAUUUGCAGGUCAGUCACGGCCAUCUACUGCUAUCUGAGUUGCACUGAUAAAAACGUGCUCUUUAUCUCGAGGAGGACUUCCAUGGUUUCAAUUUGUUCAUUAAUACAUUUGGAAUGUUUCUGCCUUGGGGUCUGCCACCCACACACAGAAGGUCAGGGUUGCAUUGGUCGAGUUAGUUUGUCGUAUCAGUGAGUCACGUUGAAGCACAACUAGUACUAGUCACAUACAGGUCCUCAUCUCCCAUGGAGGCAACUACUUUGUAAAAUCUAUCCUUUGUUUGACAGAUUUUGGAUUGUGUUUGUACUUAGAAGAGUUGUGUUUUUAUGUUUUAUAUAGAAUUACAUGAUGAAUGUUACAGAGAUGAAGCACUAGACUGUAGGUGGACAGAUUGAUAAGUCUGUGCUCUCAGUUAUGAGUGGUUGUUCUAAUGAAGUUUCACCUACUGUCUUAGCAUGACCGCCUUGAUGCAACCUGUCUUAGGGUUUUUUGGGUUAGGAGGUGAGGGUUGGGUGAAUUAGAACUGGGGCCUACAGCGAGGCAGGCAAGAUUCCUUCCAUGGGAGCCCCCAUAAAUUGAUUGCUCAAGAAAGUAUAAAUAAGGAGUGACCCCACAGUCCUCAACUUUUACCAAAGCAGUGUUUCUCUUUUUUCAGAGUCAACCUGAUAAAUUCGGUCACAUCACAGUCCACAGUCCACAUCGGCGUUAACGUCCAUUUUUAUGGUGGUUAAUUAGUCGCACAGAGCUGCAACGUGUCUGUGUGACCAGCCAAAGAAGAAACCAGACACCAUGCAGCCUCCCAGUAUAACCCAGACUGGCAGAUCCAGCACCGACACACUCACACGUACACAGAAUAACUGGGCUGACCUUGAACAACCGGGCGGUCGACUAUAAAACAACGUCACCGCUGGAUGGAGGCGCACCAGCGAUGUCCUCACAUCUGUGUCGUUGGAUGUUCUUUCUCUGUUGUGGAGAUGGUUUAAUGCUGUAUUUGGUCCCGUGCUGGCCAGAGUAGUGAUGAUGAAACCCUCUCUACUGUCACAGUGUUUGCCUUUCUUUAACGUUGACAUUCGGUGAUCUCAUUCUUACUCCGCGCCUGUUCGCGGACCGACUCCUUUGUGGCCGUCUGCACUCACCGCCUUGUCUAGAGAUUCAAACAAAGACGCUCAGCAGAGAGCCAGCCAUAAUGCUCACUGGUAUAUUUAAAAGAUGUUUUGUCGUAUAACGCACCUCUAAUUUCAGUGAAGCUCAGAUUGAAACGUGGCUUCUUCACGAUGACUGUCUUGGGAUUAAGUUACAUAGGAUUUGAUAGACUGCUGCCCGGCAACAUGUGGUAAACAAAUAAGCCCGCUGCAACUGUCAUUACAUUUUGUUUGCGAUGUGGACAAACGCUGAUUGGUGCAUGAAGGCAUUGCUAAUGACAUCACCUUUUUCCAAGAUGUCUUUGCAGAUUCUCUUUCAUCCAGGUCGGAGUUCUCGACACACUUUUUCCUACCUUUACUUCACUCUGGGUUUUGUGUGCAGAAAGCUGCAAAUCUUCCUGUGGGUGGCUCCACAAAUGUCUGCAGUAGGCAAUAAGGCUGGAUUGUCCUUGUGUCACAAUCAGUGACAUCCUCAGGCUCUAAGUAAAGAGCAGCGGAGAACUGGAAGGUGACUGUGUUAGAAAAGGUUAGAAUGGAGUGGAGGACGGGGUUUUUCCCCCAGAGAUCAACACAACGGAACACAAGGCCAAUGUCAUAGUUUCCAUACGUGCACAGACGUCUGCCUGAUGUAAAUGUUGUCAUCAGGCCCCGUCUGAACACUGCAGGCCGUGCAACAGAGAAGAACACUGUGUCUGUUGUACCUGUCCCUG